AUUGAACGCUGGCGGCAGGCCUAACACAUGCAAGUCGAACGAGUGGCGGACGGGUGAGUACUGUCUGGGAAACUGCCCGAUGGAGGGGGAUAACUACUGGAAACGGUAGCUAAUACAGCAUACCAUCGGAUGUGCCCAGAUGGGAUUAGCUAGUAGGUGGGGUAACGGCUCACCUAGGCGACGAUCCCUCGCUGGUGUGAGAGGAUGACCAGCCACACUGGAACUGGGACACGGGCCAGAGUCCUACGGGAGGCGGCAGUGGGGAAUAGUGCACAAUGGGCGAAAGCCUGAUGCAGCCAUGCCGCGUGUAGGAAGAAGGCCUUCGGGUUGUAAAGGACGUUCAGCGAGGAGGAGUGACGCGCAGAAGAAGCAACGGCUAACUCCGUGCCAGGAGCCGCGGUAAUAC
rnacentral:rRNA from 1 species